rnacentral:misc_RNA from 1 species
CAACAAUGGCCCUAAUACACAUGAAUAAACAUCAGAAUGCAUGAAAUAAAUCAACAACAUCAAGUUUCUCCUUUAUGUCACAAAUAAUAAAUAUAAGAAACAACACAAGAGGUGUCAAGAUUUAGGUAUUACGUUUCUCCCCUUGUACAGGAAGAAAAUGGGGAAUACUGUAAUAUUUAUAAUCCAGAGCCCAUCAGAGAAGACAUGUAUAGUUGACCUUAUCUUUGCCCUCAGCACCUCUUAGAAAUGCAAGUUCCUUGUCGAUGAAUUAGGCCUAAAGUUCAUCAGUUUCAAAAGCAUAACUUUACAAGCCAUGGAAGAUAUUUGAGGGAUGCAGAUAGCAGAAGUUCAGCGACGAGGUGCAGAAGGUUCCCUAAGGGAAUAGCGAGAUGAGACUAAAGCUGGGUACCUAGGCUCAUCCCCAACAUGGUGAUAUUUCAAGCCGUAGUCUGGUGGUAAUUGAGGAGCAUAUGGUGGAUAUGCUCUUUCAUUUUCACUGUUUAAUCUCCACGUUGGUGGAUAUGCUCUUUCACUUUCAGUGUGGAAUCUCACCGUUGGUGGAUAUGCUCUUUCAGGUUCACUGCUGAAUCUCCCCGUUGGUGAAUAUGCUCUUCUAUUUUCACUGUUGAAUCUCUCCGUCGGUGGAUAUGCUCUUUCAUUUUCACUGUUUAAUCUCCACGUUGGUGGAUAUGCUCUUUCACUUUCAGUGUGGAAUCUCACCGUUGGUGGAUAUGCUCUUUCAGGUUCACUGCUGAAUCUCCCCGUUGGUGAAUAUGCUCUUCUAUUUUCACUGUUGAAUCUCUCCGUC